CUGGACGUGGCUGACUUCGCGCUGCAGGCCCGUGCCUCACAGGCGCAGCUGGCUGCGGCCGAGGCCGACCUGGUGCGUGCCCGCGAUGACCUGA
rnacentral:tRNA from 1 species